GAUGAACGCUAGCGGCAGGCUUAAUACAUGCAAGUCGUGGGCAGCGCAGGUAGCAAUACUGGGCGGCGACCGGCAAACGGGCGCGGAACACGUACACAACCUUCCGAGAAGUGGGGAAUAGCCCAGAGAAAUUUGGAUUAAUACCCCCGUAACAUAACGAUGUGGCAUCACAUUGUUAUUAUAGCUUCGGCGCUUCUUGAUGGGUGUGCGGCUGAUUAGAUAGUUGCGGGGUAACGCCCACCAAGUCUACGAUCAGUAGCUGAUGUGAGAGCAUGAUCAGCCACACGGGCACUGAGACACGGGCCCGACUCCUACGGGAGCAGCAGUAAGGAAUAUUGGUCAAUGGACGCAAGUCUAGACCAGCCAUGCCGCGUGAAGGA
rnacentral:rRNA from 1 species